rnacentral:rRNA from 1 species
AGAGAGAGACAUGCGCGCAUAUCAAUAAGCGGAGGAAAAGAAACUAACAAGGAUUCCCUUAGUAACGGCGAGUGAAGCGGGAAGAGCUCAAAUUUGAAAUCUUCAAGGUUUUACCUUGACGAAUUGUAGUUUAAAGAAGUGUUUUCUGCUGAAGUUUUGGUAAAAGCUCUUUGGAAUAGGACAUCAUAGAGGGUGAGAAUCCCGUAUUUGACCAUUAUUUUCAGCUUUGUGAUACACUUUCAAAGAGUCGGAUUGUUUGGGAAUGCAGUCCAAAAUGGGUGGUAAAUUUCAUCUAAAGCUAAAUAUUGGCGAGAGACCGAUAGCGAACAAGUACCGUGAGGGAAAGAUGAAAAGAACUUUGAAAAGAGAGUUAAACAGUACGUGAAAUUGUCAAAAGGGAAGCGUUUGACACCAGUGUUGUUUUCUCGAAAAUCAAUUAAAAAUGGCUCGAUUUUGUAUUGUUGAGACCUUAAAAGCUCACUGUACAUUUUCGUGUCUUUUUUAAUGCACUUUUCGUUUAACAAGUCAACAUCAGUUUCUUUUGUUGUAAAAGGGUCAUUGGAAGGUGGCUUUCUUUUCGGAGAAAGUGUUUAUAGCCUUUGGCCUCUGCAAUCGAAGAGAUUGAGGUCUGCAGCGUAGAUCCUUCGGGGUUAGAUACAUUUGUGCUAAGUUAUAGCUUUUUAUAGACAACUUGUUGACUAUAAUUAGUCUUGUAGCUUACUCGCUUAUGCUAUUUUACCUACGCUUAGGAUGUUGAGUCGUAGAGCACGCAG